rnacentral:rRNA from 1 species
UACGGAGGGUGCAAGCGUUAAUCGGAAUUACUGGGCGUAAAGCGUGCGCAGGCGGUUUUGUAAGUCUGUCGUGAAAGCCCCGGGCUCAACCCGGGAGGGUCGUGGCAAACCGGCGGGCUUGAGGCCGGUAGAGGUGGGUGGAACUCCUGGUGGAGUGGUGAAAUGCGUAGAGAUCAGGAAGAACACCCGUGGCGAAGGCGGCCCACUGGGCCGGUACUGACGCUGAGGCGCGAAGGCGUGGGGAGCGAACGGG